UACGGAGGGUCCAAGCGUUAUCCGGAAUCAUUGGGUUUAAAGGGUCCGUAGGCGGUUUUGUAAGUCAAUGGUGAAAGCCCAUCGCUCAACGGUGGAACGGCCAUUGAUACUGCAAGACUUGAAUUAUUAGGAAGUAACUAGAAUAUGUAGUGUAGCGGUGAAAUGCUUAGAGAUUACAUGGAAUACCAAUUGCGAAGGCAGGUUACUACUAAUGGAUUGACGCUGAUGGACGAAAGCGUGGGGAGCGAACAGG
rnacentral:rRNA from 1 species